CUUUUUCUCUGUGCAUCCUCAGUGACGCGGGGCACAGCUCUGCCCGGGGGCCUACCAGAGCCCACCUGGACCCCACACUGGGUCAGCCCUGGUGCGGAGGAGGCCGCUGUAGGCGCGGCCAGGUCACAGUCGGCACCAGAAGUUUGGCAGAUCUCAGUGAGGCGUUAGUUUGCAUUUCCUUGUGACGGGGUUGUAGAAGAAGGUUAACAAGGUACCACAAACCGGAUGGCUCAAAACAGCGGAUACUGUCUCACGGUUCUGGAGACCUGAAGUCUGAAACAAAGUGGUGAUGGGGUCGGUUCCCUCCGGAGGCUCUGAGGGGGAUGCAGUGGCUCUGAGGGGGCUGUGGGGGCUCUGAGGGGAGACUGGGGGUGGCUCUGAGGGGGAUGCGUUUCCUGCCUCUCUCCGCCAUGCUGGGGCUCGCUGCAUCUUCGUGCUCCUCUGCUUGUGGAUGCGUCACUCUGGCUCCGUUCUUCUUCACGCGGCAUCCGUCUCCCUGUGUUCUCUGCUUUAUAACGGCACCUGUCAUUGGAUGCAGGGACCGCUCUAAUCCACCAUGAUUCUAUCUGGAGAACCUAAACUUAAUUACAUCAGUAAAGACCCUUUCUCCAUGAGGUCCCACUCGCAGGUUCUCGGGGGACAUGUCUUUUGGGGCCACCAUUCCCCCAGCUCCGAUGCUCCUUUAAGCUCAUUAAGCUUCAUAGAGGGGAUUCAGGUGGGGGUGCCCUCGGUCUCACUCAGUGGGUGUCAGGGGGCGUAUCGCCUGCAGGCCGGCCCUUCUGCCCUCUCAGAGGCAGCCACAGCUCAGGUCAGGCUGGAGGGUGGGGUGGAC
rnacentral:lncRNA from 1 species